GGCUCAUUAAGUCCGUCAGGGACGAGGCAGCAGUAGAGAAUAUUGUGCAAUGUACGGCAGUAUGACACAGAGAGCACACGCCCUCUUGGCCUGUCCAACUAAGUGCCAGCAGACGCGGUUAGACUUAGGGGCCAAGCCUUUAUGAGCAAAGGGGCGUAAAGGGUGUGUAGGCCGACUGCCCCACCCCCCCAAGGUGGUAACUGGAAUUUUUCUGUAGCGGUAGAAUGUGCGGAUAGAAAACAGAACGCCAAAAGCAGAAGCAAUUUACCGCGGGGCGGUAGGGGGGGCCCCUUGGGGUGACCCCCCCGGGUCACGGGCUGAAACACGAGUGUGUGGGGAACAAACAGGAUUAGAGACCCUGGUAGUCCACACUGUAAACGAUGGAGAAAAUGCGAAUGCAGCCCCGAAAGGCAGCAAUCUCCCGCCUGAGUAGUACGAUCGCAAGAUUAAAAUUCAAAAAAUUUGGCUGUUCACCGUUUCGAUUAGAGGAGCGUGUAGUUUAAUUCGAUAAACCGCGAGAUACCUUACCCAAACUUGAAUCGCCCCACCCGCGACCCUUGUGGUCCCGGGGGGGGUGACCGGUAUUGCAUGGCCGUCGUCAGUUCGUGUAUGAAACCUUAAACGGACCCAACCCGAGGAUUAGCCGCGGAUGAAGUCAGGUCUUAUGGUCCCAAUGUUUGGGGAUAAUAUGCGCUACAUUUUCUUAUACAAUGGGAAACCUGGGAGGUGAAACCCAAAAGUGAGAGUUCGGUAGGCUAUUGGAAGAUGGCCGAAAGUUGAAUUUAAUAGUAAUCGGAAAGUAUAGCGUUCCGGUGAAAAUGGUCUAGGUGUUAGCACAAAUCGCCCGUCACCUUAACUUAGGAUGAUGGUUCGGACGCCGCCGCGCCCCGGCGGUUACGGGCCCCUACGAAGUUAGCA
rnacentral:rRNA from 1 species